rnacentral:rRNA from 1 species
UACGAAGGGGGCUAGCGUUGCUCGGAAUGACUGGGCGUAAAGGGCGCGUUAGGCGGACAUCUUUGUCGGGCGUGAAAUUCCGAGGGCUUAACCUUGGGGCCGCGUUCGAGACGGGGUGUCUUGAGUGGGGAAGAGGGUCGUGGAAUUCCCAGUGUAGAGGUGAAAUUCGUAGAUAUUCGGAAGAACACCAGUGGCGAAGGCGGCUGACUGGACGAUGGUAUUGAC